rnacentral:rRNA from 1 species
AUACGUAGGUGGCGAGCGUUGUUCGGAUUUAUUGGGCGUAAAGGGUCCGCAGGGGGUUGAUUAAGUUUGACGUGAAAUCCCGGAGCUUAACUCCGGAACUGCGUUGAAGACUGGUUGACUAGAGUGUUGGAGAGGUAAUUGGAAUUCCAGGUGUAGCGGUGGAAUGCGUAGAUAUCUGGAAGAACAUCGAGAGCGAAGGCAGAUUACUGGACAACAACUGACCCUCAGGGACGAAAGCAUGGGGAUCAAACAGGAUUAGAUACCCUGGUAGUCCAUGCCCUAAACGGUGUAAACUUGAUGUGAGCGGAAUUACUCCCGUUCGUGUCGAAGCUAACGCGAUAAGUUUACCGCCUGGGAACUACGGCCGCAAGGCUAAAACUCAAAGGAAUUGACGGGG